rnacentral:rRNA from 1 species
GACGAACGCUGGCGGCGUGCUUAACACAUGCAAGUCGAACGAUGAAGAAGAGAAACGCGAACUUCGGUUCAACUUUCACUUCGGAUUAGUGGCAGACGGGUGAGUAACGCGUGAGCAACCUACCUCUUACAAAGGGAUAGCCUCGGGAAACCGUGAUUAAUACCAUAUGACACAUUCAUAAGGCAUCUUAAGAAUGUUAAAGCUACGGCGGUAAGAGAUGGGCUCGCGUCCCAUUAGCUAGUUGGUGAGGUAACGGCCCACCAAGGCGACGAUGGGUAACCGGCCUGAGAGGGUGAACGGUCACAUUGGAACUGAGACACGGUCCAAACUCCUACGGGAGGCAGCAGUGGGGAAUAUUGCACAAUGGAGGGAACUCUGAUGCAGCGACGCCGCGUGAGCGAUGAAGGAAUUCGUUUCAUAAAGCUCUGUUCUAUGGGAAGAAAAGGACUGUACCAUAGGAGAAAGCCCCGGCUAAAUACGUG